rnacentral:rRNA from 1 species
GAGUUUGAUCUUGACUCAGAUUGAACGCUGGCGGCAUGCCUUACACAUAGCAAGUCGAACGGCAGCAUGAUCUAGCUUGCUAGAUUGAUGGCGAGUGGCGAACGGGUGAGUAAUACAUCGGAACGUGCCCUGUAGUGGGGGAUAACUAGUCGAAAGAUUAGCUAAUACCGCAUACGACCUGAGGGUGAAAGUGGGGGACCGCAAGGCCUCAUGCUAUAGGAGCGGCCGAUGUCUGAUUAGCUAGUUGGUGGGGUAAAGGCCCACCAAGGCGACGAUCAGUAGCUGGUCUGAGAGGACGAUCAGCCACACUGGGACUGAGACACGGCCCAGACUCCUACGGGAGGCAGCAGUGGGGAAUUUUGGACAAUGGGCGAAAGCCUGAUCCAGCAAUGCCGCGUGUGUGAAGAA